rnacentral:lncRNA from 1 species
UGUUAUGACUUACAUCAUUUGAAUUAUUUAUUUACUUGUUAUUUCUUGAUAUAAUAUUAUUAGAAUUCCGAACUUACUCAUUAAGGAUAAAUUUGAAAGGUUGUAACUCUCAGUAAAGAGCAGAUGGUUGCAAGACAAUAUGUAAUCUUCUUCUUAAUCUUUGUUUAUCUUAAUUAUUUUAUCUCUACUACGGGGACAGUUGCAAUAUUUGACUGGUCUUAUUCAAAUACAAUUUGAAGAAAAACUACUGACUAGUAUAAUCUUUAAGGUCAUUAAAACUAUAGAACACAUAUGUUGGUAUCUUGUGUUUAAUUUUAAUGAAUCUAAAUCAAACCAACUUCGAGUAAUUGAUUCAGAAGCAAACAGUGUAGACACUUUCCUUGGUCUCUUCUACUUAGAUAUUAAAUACUUAUUAUGCUGUUCACAAUAAUAGUGUAAGAACUUGUAAAAAUGUAAUUUUUAUAAUAAAUCUAAUUUUUUUGUUUUCAAGUAUAAUUCCUAUUAUACGCUUUAUACUAUUAUAUUUCUUACUUAUUCAUUUUUGAAGCUACUAUUUAUGUCAUUUUAUGAAUUAAAUGUUUUUGCUUUUGGCAAUAAAACAAUGGGACCAAGCUGUUAGAGAAAGAAAUGAAUUCAAAAAUUGAUUGACCAAUGUAAGACUUGCAUCCUUUUUAGAUAUUUAAAUAUUUUUUCUACAACAAAUCUAUUAUAUUUUUGUUAAGUCUUUGUUAAGUGAAUAAGUUAAAUAUUUUUAUUUUUAUUAUUUUUAACUAUGAAAGUAACUUUAUUAACUAAAUAAGGUUUUAAGUCUUCUGAUGGCUGAGAAUGACCUCUCACAGUAACAAGUUGUUACUGACCAGAUAGAAGAAUAUUCAACAUGGAUUUUAUUUUUAAUGAAGAAUAACAGGUUUUGUAUCUGUAGAAUUUCGAUUGCAGAAGUAGGAAGGAGCCAUCUUCAAAUUUAUAGCUCAGGGAGUUGUCGUUGUACGAUAUAAUAUCUUAUUCUCUCGUUUUGGUCUUAGUUUUUAGAAAGAAGGUGGCUCAAAGUAAGAUGGAAUCAUAGGAGGCUUAUUGUCUUGGGAAAAUAUAUAAUCCAACUGAGAUGCGAUGUAAUUUAUGUAGGGAUAAAAGAUAUUCCUCAACGAUCCUCUACAGAUUGGAUGUUCAUGUUUGCUCUGUAGGCUUGUUUCACAGAUGUAUAUUUGUUUUGUAGUCUGCAGCUUUUUGUUCAACGGAUAAAUGUAGCCAUGUAUUAUAUUGAUCCUAACAGCUCUACUAGAUACUCCUAAUGACACAAUAUUAUGUCUGAGGGCAGCGGAAUUUCAGAUAUAGAAAGUUUAUUGAUCCCUUUCGUUUUCAAAAGAGAAAUGAUCGAGGUUAACUUUUCCACAAAUUCACUGAGGGUGGUUGACCUACUGCUCCAAAUAGUGUCGCUUAUCAGUUGAAUUUCUGGUUAGGUUUUCAAAUUCCAAAAUUCCUGAUGUGCAAUUAUUUUUUAAAUUCUUCUAACUUUUCCAUCUUUGCUGUUUUCUGACUCCAACCCAUCUUUCCUGACACUACGACUUCGAGAGUCCAAUUUAACUCCAAUUUUAGAAAUGUAUUCCUGUCGGUAGGAAAAUCUGAACAGCCAUGUGCUACUAAAAAAUUAAUUACAUUUGUGAGGAUAUAGGCCUUUCUCAAUAACCAAGGAUAAUGAAAUUAAUUUUUUACUUUCUCGAUAAUGAAAUACUAGACAAUAGUUACAGACGUGUUUGGGUAUAGAGUUCUAUAUUUCGAAUUAAUAAUAUAAUUAAAAGAACAUAACAGACCUGCGCUCCUUUUUGGAAGGAAAACCCAGCUGAAUCUAAUCAGGUGUCAAUAGAUGAUAUAAAAAAGACUCAGAUUCCAACAGGCCCUCCAGAAAAUGAGGGGUGGGUCAGAAUACCACAUUUUCUGUCUCUUGAGUCUUAGUAUAUCCUACUCAAUUUCAACUGGAAUUGAUAGAUUCCCAGGUAGUAAAGCUGUAGAUUUUUUCAGGAAGUCUCACUAAUUGAGCAAAGUGUAACUUCAGAGAAACAAUACGUUAAUGUCUGUAAUAUCUACCUAGUAUUCUCAAACCAUGCCCCAAAUAACUAGUUAAGUUGUGGGGUGUCUAAGUUAUUUCUUUUUCACAACAUUAUUUGGGUCUUUAGUAAAAAAACAAAUGAUUAAAAAAAAUUGUCCUAUGUUUUUGCUGUAUUCGUAACUCAGGUUUGGAAUUGACAGACAAGUUGUAAGGUUGUCCGACCCCCACGACAUUUUUACCAUGUUGCAUAAUUUUAUAAUAUUGUUAAUUUUUAGAUUUAUAUCAAAUAAUUGUUUUACUUUAUCUUUCUAUGCAUGGUUUGAGAUAUUCAAUCGUCGCCUUUUAAUAAUUUUAUAUAAUUUCUUUUACAGCGUCUUUCCUUCCUCAAUUCAUGAUGAUGAGUAUCAGUAACAUUUCUCUAAGAUGUAACUUAAGAAUUGAAAAAACUGGUUCUACAGACAUGGUAGCUUUUUCCCAAAGAAUGAAUUUAUCCUCUUUGACUUCCUCUUGGUGGCAGGGUCGAUUUCGAACAGGAGAUUGACACUCCUGAGUCGAUUGUACACUCAACUCAGGGACUGGCAACGUCUACUCUUGAUUUCCAGUACGUCCACAUUGAUUGGUCAAUUUAGAUUCCACCAUUUCUUUUUCAGCAACUGUUGCUGAAGUGACUACAUUGUCCUUGUUUUUAUGGACUUCAGUAGUUCUUGCUAACUUUCAUGGACUUUUCUCUAAUGAUUCAAGUUUUACAAUUACUGUAUCACCCUUUUUGUUUGAGUUGGUAUUAUGUGGUGCCUCUAAUAAUUAUUAAUUAUUAGUGUUUUAUCAUAUAACUUUCUGGAGUUUACCAGUUUGAGAUGAUCCUGUUUAUUAGUAAUUUAUCCAUGUACUACUAAUAAUAAAGGAGUUGUGUUUUUGUACUGAA